AUGCUCCCUUUGGCAGCACAUAUACUAAAAUUGGAACUAUACAGAGAUUAGCAUGGCCCCUGCGCAGGGAUGACACACAAAUUCAUGAAGCGUUCCUUUUUUUU
rnacentral:snRNA from 1 species